UACAGAGGUCCCAAGCGUUGUUCGGAUUCACUGGGCGUAAAGGGUGCGUAGGUGGCCUGAAAAGUUUGAUGUGAAAGCUCAGGGCUUAACCCUGAAAUGGCAUUGAAUACUGUCGGGCUGGAGGUUUGGAGGGGGGACUGGAAUUCUUGGUGUAGCAGUGAAAUGCGUAGAUAUCAAGAGGAACACCAGUGGCGAAGGCGAGUCCCUGGACAACACCUGACACUGAGGCACGAAAGCUAGGGGAGCAAACAGG
rnacentral:rRNA from 1 species